GAAUUUUGAACUUCAUCUUUGGCUCUCUUGUUUCAAGAUGAAAUCUUAUCAUCUGAGCAAUCCGUGCCACAGAAAUCCAUAACAGAGAGAGAUUCAAAACAGCCCGGCUGUCACGUCCGAGUGUUCUCUUACCUAAUAGAAGUGAAAAUUAUCUGAAGAUAUCAACCAACGGAAGUUUGGAUGUAUUCUAUUGCGGCCAGGCACAUAAUGUGUUUCUAUUUCAUUUUGUAAAACUCAAAGACCACAAACGCAACUCUCAAGCAUUAGGAUCAGGGAAUGGAGCACUUAAGCAGAAAUCCUUCUUGAGUAAUGAAGAAAAUAGAAUAGGAUGAGUUUGAAUAGCUAAAAAAUAAAUUCAUAAUAAAAUGAUUCUCUCAUUACUUUGUCCCUCUUA